rnacentral:rRNA from 1 species
CUGUCUAGUAUAGCACUAUACGGUGAAACUGCGAAUGGCUCAUUAAAUCAGUUAUCGUUUAUUUGAUAGUACCUUACUACAUGGAUAACCGUGGUAAUUCUAGAGCUAAUACAUGCUAAAAACCUCGACUUCGGAAGGGGUGUAUUUAUUAGAUAAAAAACCAAUGCCCUUCGGGGCUCCUUGGUGAAUCAUAAUAACUUAACGAAUCGCAUGGCCUUGCGCCGGCGAUGGUUCAUUCAAAUUUCUGCCCUAUCAACUUUCGAUGGUAGGAUAGUGGCCUACCAUGGUAUCAACGGGUAACGGGGAAUUAGGGUUCGACUCCGGAGAGGGAGCCUGAGAAACGGCUACCACAUCCAAGGAAGGCAGCAGGCGCGCAAAUUACCCAAUCCCGACACGGGGAGGUAGUGACAAUAAAUACUGAUACAGGGCUCUUUUGGGUCUUGUAAUUGGAAUGAGUACAAUUUAAAUCCCUUAACGAGGAACAAUUGGAGGGCAAGUCUGGUGCCAGCAGCCGCGGUAAUUCCAGCUCCAAUAGCGUAUAUUAAAGUUGUUGCAGUUAAAAAGCUCGUAGUUGAACCUUGGGCCUGGCUGGCCGGUCCGCCUCACCGCGUGUACUGGUCCGGCCGGGCCUUUCCUUCUGGGGAACCUCAUGCCCUUCACUGGGCGUGUUGGGGAACCAGGACUUUUACUUUGAAAAAAUUAGAGUGUUCAAAGCAGGCCUUUGCUCGAAUACAUUAGCAUGGAAUAAUAGAAUAGGACGUGUGGUUCUAUUUUGUUGGUUUCUAGGACCGCCGUAAUGAUUAAUAGGGAUAGUCGGGGGCAUCAGUAUUCAAUCGUCAGAGGUGAAAUUCUUGGAUUGAUUGAAGACUAACUACUGCGAAAGCAUUUGCCAAGGAUGUUUUCAUUAAUCAGUGAACGAAAGUUAGGGGAUCGAAGACGAUCAGAUACCGUCGUAGUCUUAACCAUAAACUAUGCCGACUAGGGAUCGGACGGUGUUAGUAUUUUGACCCGUUCGGCACCUUACGAGAAAUCAGGUUUUGGGUCUGGGGGAGAUGGCCAGAGUCCU